UGCAAGUCGAACGGCAGCGCGGGGCAACCUGGCGGCGAGUGGCGAACGGGUGAGUAAUAUAUCGGAACGUACCCAAGAGUGGGGGAUAACGUAGCGAAAGUUACGCUAAUACCGCAUACGAUCUAUGGAUGAAAGCAGGGGACCGCAAGGCCUUGUGCUCCUGGAGCGGCCGAUAUCUGAUUAGCUAGUUGGUGAGGUAAAGGCUCACCAAGGCGACGAUCAGUAGCUGGUCUGAGAGGACGACCAGCCACACUGGAACUGAGACACGGUCCAGACUCCUACGGGAGGCAGCAGUGGGGAAUUUUGGACAAUGGGCGCAAGCCUGAUCCAGCAAUGCCGCGUGAGUGAAGAAGGCCUUCGGGUUGUAAAGCUCUUUUGUCAGGGAAGAAACGGUGGAGGUUAAUACCUUCCACUAAUGACGGUACCUGAAGAAUAAGCACCGGCUAACUACGUGCCAGCAGCCGCGGUAAUACGUAGGGUGCAAGCGUUAAUCGGAAUUACUGGGCGUAAAGCGUGCGCAGGCGGUUUUGUAAGUCUGUCGUGAAAGCCCCGGGCUCAACCUGGGAAUUGCGAUGGAGACUGCAAGGCUUGAAUCUGGCAGAGGGGGGUAGAAUUCCACGUGUAGCAGUGAAAUGCGUAGAGAUGUGGAGGAACACCGAUGGCGAAGGCAGCCCCCUGGGUCAAGAUUGACGCUCAUGCACGAAAGCGUGGGGAGCAAACAGGAUUAGAUACCCUGGUAGUCCACGCCCUAAACGAUGUCUACUAGUUGUCGGGUUUUAAUUAACUUGGUAACGCAGCUAACGCGUGAAGUAGACCGCCUGGGGAGUACGGUCGCAAGAUUAAAACUCAAAGGAAUUGACGGGGACCCGCACAAGCGGUGGAUGAUGUGGAUUAAUUCGAUGCAACGCGAAAAUCUUACCUACCCU
rnacentral:rRNA from 2 species